rnacentral:rRNA from 1 species
AUUCCAGCUCCAAUAGCGUAUAUUAAAGUUGUUGCAGUUAAAAAGCUCGUAGUUGGAUUUCCGGCGUGAGGGAUCAGUCUGACUUCUAGUCAGUACUUGGUCCUCUCAUGCCGUCCUUGAAUGGUGCAUCCUGGCAUUAAGUUGUCGGGGUGAGAGCCGUUCAUCGUUUACUGUGAGAAAAUUAGAGUGUUCAAAGCAGGCUUAUGCCGUUGAAUAUAUUAGCAUGGAAUAAUAAGAUAGGACUUUGGUACUAUUUUGUUGGUUUGAGAACCAAGGUAAUGAUCAAUAGGGACAGUUGGGGGUAUUCGUAUUCAGUUGUCAGAGGUGAAAUUCUUAGAUUUCCGGAAGACGAACUACUGCGAAAGCAUUUACCAAGGAUGUUUUCAUUG